rnacentral:rRNA from 1 species
ACGAAAAAUAACGAUGCGAGACUCUUCCGAGGCCUCGCAAUCGGAAUGAGUUCAUUUUAAAACUUUGGACGAGGAUCCAUUGGAGGGCAAGUCUGGUGCCAGCAGCCGCGGUAAUUCCAGCUCCAAUAGCGUAUAUUAAAGUUGCUGCGGUUAAAAAGCUCGUAGUUGGAUCUCCUAGAUCCAUUUAGUGAUCGAGUCGCUCGUAGUAUUAACGUCCUUCGUCUGGUCGCCGAGACUAAUGGUGCGGGUUUCUCUCUUUCGCGCUGAUUCGUCGGUGUGUAUCGAGGUUGCCCUCUCCCGUUUCGGAGGACGGUCGGUCGUUGUCUUCGAGUAUCGCUCUUUCGCUUGUGGUACAAUUAAAAAAUUGUCGGCUCGCUCGGAGUGCUCUUUACCGAGUGUUCCAGGGUGGCCGACACGUUCACUUUGAAAAAAUUAGAGUGCUUAAAGCGGGCGCAUACGCUGCCUGAAUGUCUGUGCAUGGAAUGAAGUAACAGGACCUCGAUUCUGUUGUUUUUGUCGGUUUUAUUGAACCGAGGUAAUGAUUAAAAGGGACAGACGGUGGCAUUAGUAUUGCGGCGCUAGAGGUGAAAUUCUUGGACCGCUGCMAGACUAACUACUGCGAAAGCAUUUGCCGAGAAUGUUUUCAUUAAUCAAGAACGAAAGUUAGAGGAUCGAAGGCGAUCAGAUACCGCCCUAGUUCUAACCCUAAACUAUGCUAACUAGCGAUCCGCCGGAGUCAUUCCCACGACCCGGCGGGAAGCCCCAGGGAAACCAAAGUUUUUGAGUUCCGGGGGAAGUAUGGUUGCAAAGCUGAAACUUAAAGGAAUUGACGGAAGGGCACCACCAGGAGUGGAGCCUGCGGCUUAAUUUGACUCAACACGGGAAACCUCACCAGGCCCGGACAUCAUAAGGAUUGACAGGUUGAGAGCUCUUUCUCGAUUUGAUGGGUGGUGGUGCAUGGCCGUUCUUAGUUGGUGGAGUGAUCUGUCUGGUUGAUUCCGAUAACGAACGAGACUCUACCCUACUAACUAGUCGGCGGAUCGUAACCCUGAGAUUGUUAGUUCGUAUAGGUCGGUAUGUCCGAGUCGUGAGCGCGGUGGCUUUUGUUGCGUUAGUGUUAAGAGUACUUCAGACGUCCUUCGCGGGGCGCCUGGCCUUUUUCUCUAUCGUGUCGGGCCAUUUAGCGCGAGCGGCGAAGCUUCCGAUUGAUUACUGCUACUGCUGGGGGCGUCCGUCGCAAUGUAUCUUCUUAGAGGGAUCAGCGGCGUAUAGCCGCACGAGAAAGAGCAAUAACAGGUCUGUGAUGCCCUUAGAUGUUCUGGGCCGCACGCGCGCUACAAUGUAGAGAUCAGCGUGCUUUCCCCUUCCGAAAGGAACGGGUAACCCGUUGAAACCCCUACCCGAUUGGGAUUGGGGCUUGCAAAUAUUUCCCAUAAACGAGGAAUUCCCAGUAAGCGCGAGUCAUCAACUCGCGCUGAUUACGUCCCUGCCCUUUGUACACACCGCCCGUCGCUACUACCGAUGGAAUGAUUCAGUGAGGGCAUCGG